UGCUCUUAUCUUUUCCUUUAAAACUGACAUUAUACAAUAUAAAGAAUGAAAAAUCCAUACUAAUAAUUAAAAUUUGAAAUUUUUCUUUACUUAGAAUGGCAUUAAGUAUCAAAUGAAGAUCACCAUGACAAGUCAAAAGAGAGGUCAAGGAAGAAAGGAAAAAUUUCACAUUGUAGUGACUUUUAACAGCACUUUUUCACCCUGGCUUUUGAACAAGGGGCUUCGCAUUUUCAUUCUGCACUGGGCCCUGCAAAGUACGUAGCCGGCUCCAGGUGGGGGGGUUGGCUGUGUUUAUAUGACCAGCGCCAAAGAGUAGUGCUGGGACCACAGGGAGCAGGGAGGAGUCACCAAUAAAUUGACGAACACAAGUCUUGGUUAUCACCAAACACUUCCCUGACAUUGGUGACAAUGGCCAUGGGUGGGGAGUUAAGAAAAUAAUUCCCAGGAAACUAUGAUCUUUCCUCUGAGAGAUUUUAAACACCCCACCACAUCCAACAUUCCUGCUUUGGUUAAGCAUAAACUGUUCCAUGUUUUAAUAUGCUUUGCCCAUGCUCUUCCUUCUUUCUGGAAUGUUCCUCCUGUCACUUGCCAGGCUCCAAGUCCUGGUCCUUCAGAGCACUGAGAGUAGGCCUGCAGGAGUGAAGACCACUGUCAAGGACCUCACCCCAGCACAUUGCAGCCUGUGGCCUGCUGCUUCCUGCCUGUCCUGCCUUGUUCUUUGUCAUCAGUCAGCAUCAUCAGACCUUGGCAUGCGCUCUGGCUCUGGUCCCUGUUUUCAGCUCCCUCCUCAGCCAGGUGGAGACACAACAUGAAACUCAGAAAGUGAAAGUGAAUUCUCUAAGAUUAUGUGUCAGGAGAAUGAGAGAGACAAGCCUAGACCCUGGGGUUCCACCAGGCAGUAAAGCUUCAGGAAGAAAAAUGCAUUUCCAUCCGCAAAAUUCCUUAAGCUCAGAGCAAAUCCAAGGUACUGUAAUUAUUGUGCUCCGCCUCCUCCACCUGCGAUUUGGGGUGGGGGGGAUCCAAUCUCACAGCUCUUAUCAGACUCUAUUGAGCUGAAGCUUUAAUGAGCAGCAGCAAUCUGUUAUUUUCCUCUUGUUUGCCUUGCGAGUUGCUCUUUUACUUCCAUCAAGAGAGGGAGAAGGAGAUGAAUAUUAAAAGCGCACAUCAAGGGACUGAGGGAGACGGGGAGACAGGGAGCUCCUCAGUAUGCAGGGACAGGUGCGGAGUUUGACUCAAGGCAGGAUCCAUUGCCCGAAUCUGCUCUGGUCUCUGACAAGCCUGCCCUUGGGAAAUGUUGCUCACUAGACUGCUCUGCUGUUGGAAGGGGGGGUGUUUCUGGAAUUGUCUGAACUGUGGGCUUGGCUCUCUCUAGAAUGCCAGCAGAAAGAAAUGGCAUUAUUGAGACUUUGAGAGAAUAAUUUGUUCUGCAGUGGAGAGUGAGGCAAGAGAGAGACUUUCUGUAAUGGGACAUCUUGUUAAAAAAAGAACAUUAAGCCCCAUUGGUCUAUGAUAGUUUGGAGUGUAAGAAAGACGGAUGGAUAAGGUCUCAAUGUCAAGAGUGUCAAGAUUUUCUUUUGUGUCUACUUGGUAGUAAGUUUCAGCUGGUCAGAUGACCCAGUAAGGGACUUUUCUGCUCUAUAAAUCUGAGAACUGGAAAGAAUAAGAUCCUAACGUGGAAGCAUAGAAGGAUAGUCUCAUCCCCCAGUGAAACAAAGAUUUCUCACUAUCAGAGACACACAGAGCUUGAUUUGCUGAUUCAGCCAAAGUUAGGUCUUCUGGAAGACCUCAGGGUCUUUGGCUGAUAAUAAUGGAUGAAGGCUAGGAUUGGUUGGUUGGUUGUUAAGGGUAAUAAUUCUGUACUAAGCUCAAAAUUACACAGGGCUGGCAUCUCCAAAGUCUAGCACAGUACAUGGAAUGCUGUAAAUGCUUAAUAAGUCUUUAAUGACUGAAUGAAUGUUCUUCGUUCUUUAUCCCUUUAUUCAAGUGACCUGUGCCAAUUCAAUUCAACAAAUAUUUAUUGAGGACAUACUAUGUAAGAGGAACCUGGAAAGGCCCAGGAAGGAACAUGUCUUCCUAGUUAUAGCAGAUACUGAGUUCCUGUGUUCUUGUCCCCUUGACACUCCUGCUUCCUGAAGAAGCCACCAGCUCCCUAUUGGAAGCAUUUGUGACUUCUCUGCCUUAGGGCUUUCUCCGGUCUCAGGAGCAUGCUCAGCCUGUGCACAGUGCAGGCUUGAAGGGCAGCAAGCAAGUGCUCCUGGGAGCAGUCUUCAGCUAGUGAAAGAAGGGAGUUGGGGCCAGCCAAGUGGUUGAGUUCAUGUGCUCCGCUUCAGUGGCCCAGGCUUUCCCUGGUUUGGGUCCUGGGCAUGGACAUGGCACCACUCGUCAAGCCAUGCUGAGGUGGCGUCCCACAUAGCAUAACCAGAAGGACCUACAACUAGAGUAUACAACUAUGUACUUCGGGGGCUUUGGGGAGAAGAAGAAGAAGAAGAAGAAAAAGAAGAUUGGCAACAGAUGUUAGCUCAGGUGUCAGUCUUUAAAAAAAAAAGGAAGAGAGGCUGUCAACCCCCCUCAGGUGGAAGAACUCUAAGGUGGUUCUGCAGUCUCCCAGAGAUUCCUAGUGGAAGUGAGCUCUGGUUGCCCACAGCUUCUUGAUCAACAGCAAACCCUAUGUUGACAUUCUGUCCUUCCCUGUUCCUUACUCCCAUACAGGUGCUUCCUGGCAUUGCCUUCCAAAUAAACUGCUUGUAGCUAAAUCUUUGUUUCA
rnacentral:lncRNA from 1 species